CAGAAAACGAAGAUUGAUGUUUUAUACCUAAAGUCUUCUACUUUCGAAAUCUGUUUGAUAAAUUGAAAUCGGAUUACCUCCAGAACAUCGAGCCUCACUGUGAAAUAUGAUUUUGCAUAGAGGAAGUAUCUAUCAAUACCAACCAUCGUGCAAAAAAGAAAGAUCCAGCUUCAAGAAUAGUAACGGUUGAGGCCAUUCGACUUCUGGAAGCAAAGGCGUGCCACGCAAGUGUGUCAUCGCAAAAUCUGUUAAAAAUUUUAAGCUGCUGUGCGCUUAGUAAUAGGCCGCAGUGCGCCAAAAUAAAAAGCUGCUGUGUGCAGACUUAUAGGCCGCAGUGCGCCAAAAUAAACAGAUUUUGUACUCCUGAUAUUAAUCAACGUUGUUAUACAACGUCUAAAGUUUCAUACUUGAAAACGAUUUACGAUUUUCUGAUAACAGGGAUCUUCAA